rnacentral:rRNA from 1 species
GACGAACGCUGGCGGCGUGCUUAACACAUGCAAGUCGAACGAGUGGCGAACGGGUGAGUAAAACGUGGGUGAUCUGCCUUGCACUUCGGGAUAAGCUUGGGAAACUGGGUCUAAUACCGGAUAGUGCAAGAUGAGCUCGCGGCCUAUGAGCUUGUUGGUGGGGGAAUGGCUACCAAGGCGUGACGGGUCGCUGGUCUGAGAGGAUGAUCAGCCAUACUGGGACGGUGACACGGCCCAGACUCCUACGUGAGGCAGCAGUGGGGAAUAUGGCACAAUGGGCGCAAGCCUGAUGCAGCCAUGCCGCGUGUAUGAAGAAGGCCUUAGGGUUGUAAAGUACUUUCAGCGGGGAGUCGUUACCCGCAGAAGAAGCACCGGCUAACUCCGUGCCAGCAGCCGCGGUAAUAC